CAUCCUAAGCACUCAUUUCCUUCUCUCUCUGCAUCAAUCACCACAGGAGAUGAGAGAGCAACGGAAAGGAGGCGGGUCGUGCGCGGCUCCGUGAGGCCGCCGCCGACGAGCGCAUCGCUGGAGGCUCCACCAAGACGCCUCUGACAUCCGCCGUCGUUCUGCCUUGCCCCCAUCCUUCUGCCUUGCCUCUCACCUCCAUCAAAUCGCCAUUGCUGAAGCGGAACUCCAGACUCUAGAUGACUGCUUAGUAGUUUGGAACUGAACUUUUACUGCGAUAAUUUCUGAAGGGGGAGGAGAACAACCACUCUCCCAUAUUCUGCCGGUAUGCCUCUGCCCCUAUAUCUAAAUCAGGAAAUCGCUGAGGUGGUGGCAAUUAGUUCCUAUCUUGAUUAUGUUCGGAAAUAGAUACCUGCGUUUUUCUGGCUAAACUGGUUUGUGUUGCGUGGCUGAUUUUAAGGAAACUUGCAAGUUAUAGGGUUUGAUUAUUUCCCUACAUAUGCACAUCGUUGUAGGUUUGUUGCGGAAUUCUGACUUUUGAUUUUAUCUACUCUUUUUGCGGGUCAAUGUCUGCACUUUGUAGAUAGUUUGCUAGACAGUUCAUUUCAGGUCGAGUCUGAUCUUGUUUCGUCUUGAUUAACAUAGUUUGGCCUCAGCAAAGCAUACAUUUUGUACAAAAUAUUAUUAUCUAUUGACAACGGUGCAUGAUAACUUUGAUUAUGACCGUACAGAUUAUUUUCGCAGAGGAACACAUAUUCUGUUGAUGAUGAAAAUUUGCGUAGGUGGAUAGUCAGUCUGAUCAGGCACAUGUAGAUCAAAAACUACUUAUCCACAUGUAGGUCAAAAACUUGCGAGUUCUCACUCUUGAUCAGGCCCUAAAGUUACUAGGUGGACCUUACAUGGCGCAGGCAGCUGCAAGGUGGUGAAUCGACAAUGCCUGAUAUGAAACCGUACACAUAGUCCCCACGACUAGCCUGCCUUCAAAUUCCCGUGGAUCGACGCAGACAUCAACUUCAGGAGCAAGGAGUAGUUCGUGCAGGUGCUGCAGCAGCAGCCGCUGGCUUCAUCUGGGGCAUUCGUGCAGGUGCUGCAGCAGCAGCCGCUGACUUCAUCUGGGGCAGCUCCAGGUUCCGGGGCAUCACCCUGUACAAGUGUGGCAGGUGGGAGGCUAGGUCAUGGGCAAGAAGCCAAGAAGUAAUCUUUAUUCGUCAGGGAAAAAUGCGUUAACUUUCCACAGGGCUUACGACAAGAUUGCAUCGAAAGCUGCGGGGAGGAGGCGCGACCAACUUCCUGGAGUAUGAUACAGGCCCAGGAUAUCCUCCAGCUCGACCAAAUCAGCCGCGUCCAUCGCUGACAUCUUACCACCCGCUUUGGAGUGUGUCUGGGCCGAACCAAAUGGCACAAUAAGGCGUGAGUUUUUUUUCCUCCACGGUGAUCUUCGACAGAUGCCUCUUUCCUCUCCCUGGGUUCUUAGGCUUCUAUUGCUUUUGUGUAUAAUUUUUUUGAAUUGGUAUGCUUAAGAGCUAAGUUGAUUAGUGUGAGUAACAUAACUUAUUAGGGCUCCCCUCCAAGGAACAUGUAACAAAUUAGUAGUCAUGAAGCCAUGUUAGAGAUCAGUGUGGGAGAAAUUCAUAUAAAAUCGAGAGAGCCAGUGUGCUGCUAACGUCACAAAGAGUUCUGAAUUUACUUCGUUUGAAGCCCCGGUAUAAUAAGCAUCCAUGUGACCUUCCCCCAGUACAUCUCUUUUCUUGGGUCAAAAAGGAAGCUGUUGCAUUAGCAGGAUAAAAGAAUAUUGGUUAACCAAAUAUUAAGUGGUAAUUUCCCCUAUUUUCUGGUCAAAUGAAGUUCUAAGCCCACCAAGUUAUUAUUUCUUGGGUUGUAUUCAAAACCUGAAAUCAUUAAUUUUUUUUAGGAGCAUAGUCAAUUGAUUUUCAGGAGUAUAGAUGUAGUCAGUCCUUCCGACAUUAUCAAUGGGAAGCUAAUAUAAUUACCAAGUAGUGUCUUAUUAUACCACUUCGUUCAACGAAUUGAUAGUGCCUUUCAAAAUAUGUUCCGUGAACAGUUGUGCAGUUUUCAGUUUUCUUUGUUGAAAACUUGAAAUACGUUUAUCAGGUAAAAUUUACUUGGCUAGAAAACAUUUCAAACAGCAGUCAGCUCUUUUAUGUGUUUUAGAUGCCUCUCAACUCAUGGUUAUUAAAGUCUUUAUGUGUCUUAUGCUAUUCUGUUUUCUUAUUUACUAUUGCAUUUAUUCAGAAUGAACACUACCAUUCGAAAAUAAGCCUACAAUGUUGCUCUGGUUCAAGGAAUCCAUUUUUCUUUUUUUGGUUUAUUAUUCGAAAUGAUAUCAACCGUUCGGAACUGAACCUACAAUUUUGCUCUGGUUUAAGGAAUCCAUUUUUCGUUCUGGUUUAUUUAUUCAUAAUGAUCUCCACCAUUCGCAACUGAACCUACAAUUUUGCUCUGGUUCAAGGAAUACAAUUUUUUUCCUUUUUGAGUAAUUGACUUAUCUAGCUAUUUUGAACAAUGCAGGGUGGUCAGAUGUGUUUGGGUUUCCUCUUUUUGGUGUUCCACACUUCCAUUGUGGAAAUUUUUAGAACUGGCCUACCAAUUUUUUCUGCAGCAGACACUUCUUUUUUUGAUUAACUUGCAAUGUAAGCUUUAGUAAUUAGCCACAACUUCUGGAGGACAGUAGAAGAGGAUAGGUGCAUCUUUGUUGGUUCUUCCAGGUUAGGUGUUCGAUAAAUUGGGUUCUUUGGCAUCAAAAGCUAGGUGUGUAUGGCUUCAGAGGCCAUUGUACUACACCAGCUAACUGAAUUAUAUUGCAAUGUUUAUUGAUUGCCUCUCCUA